GAUGAACGCUGGCGGCGUGCUUAACACGUGCAAGUCGAACGAUGAAGCCCAGCUUGCUGGGUGGAUUAGUGGCGAACGGGUGAGUAACACGUGAGUAACCUGCCCUUAACUCUGGGAUAAGCCUGGGAAACUGGGUCUAAUACCGGAUAGGAGCGCCUACCGCAUGGUGGGUGUUGGAAAGAUUUAUCGGUUUUGGAUGGACUCGCGGCCUAUCAGCUUGUUGGUGAGGUAAUGGCUCACCAAGGCGACGACGGGUAGCCGGCCUGAGAGGGUGACCGGCCACACUGGGACUGAGACACGGCCCAGACUCCUACGGGAGGCAGCAGUGGGGAAUAUUGCACAAUGGGCGAAAGCCUGAUGCAGCGACGCCGCGUGAGGGAUGACGGCCUUCGGGUUGUAAACCUCUUUCAGUAGGGAAGAAGCGAAAGUGACGGUACCUGCAGAAGAAGCACCGGCUAACUACGUG
rnacentral:rRNA from 1 species